GGAAUUCAUGGCACACAGAAUAGUCCCAAUCUACCUACUUUCUUUUCUCUUCUUUCCCUUCCCUUCCCUCCUCUUUUUUCCACCUCAUUUCUCUUUCUGUGUCUUCUCUUGAGGGGAUGGACUACGGAUGAUGAGUCAGCAAAGGCUGCUGAGAAGGAGCCGUCAGAUAGGUAGAAGAGAUCAAUAACACUUUAUUUUCAAAAAAAGUCAUCCUCCAGUCUUCACAAACAUCAUACAUUCCUGUUUUUCACUCAUUUGCUUUUUAAAUCAAUCUGGCCUCUUCCUCGAGACGCUUUUUGCCCAUUAAGUGAGCAGCUACCAGGGCCGCGAAGUAGAAGAAAUGCUAGGUCACAGGGACACAGGAGAGGAUUGCCAAAGGCAUGCUGGGUGCGUUGAACUCCAGAGAGUCUUGACUACUAUUACAGCACAAAAGCUCUUCUAAAGGGGCCACUGCAGACAGGAAAAACCAUCUUAGGUCAGGCACAUACAGAAUGAAGAGAGAACUUUUUUUUUCUCCAAGAAGAGUCUGAAGAACUUUGUUAAUUAACUACAAAAUGAGCCAAGAUUGCAUUUUAUUUUUGUUUUGCAGAUUGCCUCAGUGCGAAAUAUUUGGCUGUCCAGUAAAUGAGUUACUGCCAUACCUUUUCCAAAAGACUAAAGAAGAUUCCGGCCUUUUGAUAGGAUUGUCUCACUUCUUCACCUUGCAUUUCAAAUCUCAACUCACUUGA
rnacentral:lncRNA from 1 species